rnacentral:rRNA from 1 species
GAUGAACGCUGGCGGCGUGCCUAAUACAUGCAAGUCGAGCGAACAGAUGAUGAGCUUGCUCCUCUGACGUUAGCGGCGGACGGGUGAGUAACACGUGGAUAACCUACCUAUAAGACUGGGAUAACUUCGGGAAACCGGAUCUAAUACCGUAUAAUAUAUUGAACCGCAUGGUUCAAUAGUGAAAGACGGUUUUGCUGUCACUUAUCGAUGGAUCCGCGCCGCAUUAGCUAGUUGGUAAGGUAACGGCUUACCAAGGCAACGAUGCGUAGCCGACCGGAGAGGGGGAUCGGCCACCCUGGAACUGAGCCACGGUCCAGACUACUAAGGGAGGCAGCAGUAGGGAAUCUUACGCAAAGGGCGAAAGCCUGACGGAGCAACGCCGCGUGAGUGAUGAAGGUCUUCGGAUCGUAAAAAUCUGUUAUUAGGGAAGAACAAAUGUGUAAGUAACUAUGCCCGGCUUGACGGUACCUAAUCAGAAAGCCACGGCUAACUACGUG